rnacentral:lncRNA from 1 species
GCUGUUCAUCAUGGAGGGGAGAACUCGCCUGAGGGAGCUCAUUCCCAUCACCGCCCUAACUCCAGCCAUCGGUUCUCCUCUCCUUGGCUAGCUCCCGGACGUUUGCUCCCUGCGUCGCUGGCUCGCUGCUUCUCCGGCGGAAGUAGGCGCGCGCUGCGGCUGCGGCCUGCCUAUGUUAUGCACGCCGUUGCCGUGGUGAUCUCAUCUAGUCAUCUAGCCAGCCCGGGCUAACGAUUUGUGGAUACGUGUAAGUAAUCCCCUUCCUCGCUCUCGUACUUGAUUCUUCUUCUCCAUGCCUCACACGCGGACUGUUGAAAGAAUUCCAUGCCAACUAAGUAACUGACCGAACCAUAUCCAUAAUGUGUUUGACGAAAUGCGUACGUGGUUGCUGUGUCACGGCAUCCUUUCAUAUCUGGUGCUCCGACAGCUCUGAAUCUCUGAUGAUGGUCCUAAUUGUAGCUUAAUCGCAAACACCUCUGAUGCCACUGUAGGCACAUCCACACAAGGUGUUCGAUGAUAAUUCUCUGCCGUGAUCAUAGCAAAAACCGUAAACUUCUUACUUAACAGGUUUAACAACAUGAUUCAGAGGAUUAACCCUUGAGGUACAUGCUGUUAGUUCGGUACGAAUGGUUUGCCUGCAUUCAGUCUAAAUAAGACCUGCCAUCUCCAGCAACCUGUUAAGUGUUAAUUCGUACUUUCAGUGUUUCUUUGUUUGAUAACAAAUAUUUUUCCCCAUACUCUCGGUUUGAAAUGCCGCAUGCUGCAAUUUGUUCAGCAAGAGUCCAGAAAAGAUAGCUGAGCUACGCAAAAAGAAUGAAUGUAUUCUAUAUUCCCUUCCGGAAUGGAGUCAAGAAAGAACAUACAUCAGAGUCGUCCUUUCCCCGUUGGUCUCGCCUCUUUCUUGUUCGGUCAUCCUGUGUGCUUGGCUAGUGGAGAUUUGACAACUAAAAUGACGUUUCAUCUGUCAAGAUACCCAAACCACAGAGCCAUUAUCAUCACACUCCAACUGUACAUCAUGAUAGUGAUCUGCACCAUGCUCACUGCUGUUGUAAUGUUGUGCGCUUCUUGCCCAUCAUUUUUCGAGACCGGGAAUGUGGUCGUUUGUCACUGCAUUAACUCGUAAGGUCAUCGUUCUUUUCAACCUGAGACUAAACUAUUUCACUUAGCUCUCUUCAUUUUGUUACCCUAUUACCAAAAACUGUUUGUUCCGUUUAUUAGUUUCAUGCUGCUUAACGAUGCAUCAUGGAAAAAUGAUGAUGGAAUUUAGAGAAGGCAUAUGCUCUAAGGCAAUGUAUCAUUGCUGUUUCUAGUUUUCUACCGAAUGUCAAUGUUUCAGGCUUCUCAAUUUACCUGCAGCACAUAUUUUUUUUCCCAUGGUAGUUUAAUGCCAAUCCAAUUACCAUUUGGUAUCAGCUUCCUAGGUAGGUUACUCGAACACUAAUGCGAUAUCUGGUUUGAUGAAUCACCUAAUCCUGGAUGAAGUGAUCUAUCAUGGGUUCAUCCUAGAAUUUCACUGGGGAUGAUUCCACCCCUCAUGUUUAUACUAGUCAUAUGCAUAUGAGGCAUGAGGUAGAGGUAGUGGUUAAUCAACCCAUAACAUUCUUCGAACCAAACAAAAAUGUGGGAGAGGGUGAAUCACCCCAUUCUUCGAUCAAACCAAACACCCCAUAUCCAUUCCAUCUGCAUUUCUCACAAAAAUGAAAUGUAAGUUCCCUCGCAAAUCCUUUCCUAGGUCAUAGUUGGCAACUCUUGCAGUUCCAGUUUGUGCCUCGCACUGAGCAGUCAAAGCAUGCUGAAGGUUUAUGGCUAGUGAAGCAAGGAUGAGCCUCCAACCAAAGAGGUCACAAACAGUUCUCUGCAAUUAUUGGAUGUACAACUGAUGAUGAUGUUUGAUAAUACUGCUAGAUUUGAAGGGACAGAUUGAUCAAUAGUUGAAGCAUUACAUAUCUGAACUAUCAGGUUUUCUGUUCUUUCAAUUUCCGAUGCAUGGUAUUUUCAAAUAACAGAUUGGUGUAUCAUAUAGUGAAUUCAAAGAGCUCUUAAAUACACCAAAAUGAUCCAGGCAUAUUUUCAUAUGAAUUCAGAGAGUCCAAAUAUUCAGCCCAAUUAUCUGUAGAGUGCAGACUCUUGGUAUCUAAAUAAUCUUUUUUUUUCAAAUCUGCUGAUUUGGUUUGUUUUGGUUUACACUCUAGUGCUCUCUGUGUAGGGAUGGUCGUUCUCAGAUGCCAGCUAGUGACAAUGAAACAAUGCAAAUGCUAUCACUAGCAAGUAAUGGUGAUGCUGGUCCUGUGCCUGACAAACUCAGUACUCAGUGUUUCCUCUUCCUUGUUUGGUCAGUCUCCGCUCCACAACCAAAUAAAUCCUCGCUACUGUGAUGAAUUGUAGCAACAACCUGCACUGCAGCAAGAAAGACAGCAUUAUGGAGUGAGGAUAUCUUCUAGGAGUUCUGAGUGGAAAGAAACCGGAUUCUUGUUAAACUGUAAGCCAAUUGAUACUCUGCAUUCAGAUUCGAUUCCUGUUAUUUUCUUUUUAUUUCCGUUUCUAGGGGAUUUCUUGCUCAAGUAUAUAAUGCAACGUCAAGCAGAUAGCAACACUCAACCGAGUAUCACUUUAGGGAAAGACCGGCACAUCAGUCAUAUCUUGCUCCAUAAAUGUUUAAAUAAAUAUGGCACUCUAUUACAAUGACAGCACCAAACUAUAUGUUGUACAAAUGAACACAUGUAGUGUUGGAUUGUGGAGUAACUUACAGUUGCUCUUGGUAUCAAUCGACCCACCCCUAACUAUUCAUACAAAAAGAAUUAACAGUGUGAUUAAUGGUAAAAGUACUAACUUUUGGAUCCUAUAUGGAGUUUUGCUCAUCUUAUUUAUUUUGAUAACUGUGAACCUUCUUGUAUAUCAGAUUGUUCAUCUUUCAUGUGUACUGGAUGGUGAAGCGUGCCUUUGCCUUGUUGGCUGAGAUCACAGCAUGUUUGAGCUUUGGAUACCAUUGAGCAGAUCAACAUAUCAUCCAUCCAGGUUAAGGAUACUUUCUUUUUAUACUUGGAUCAACAAUUCUCUCUCACUGCUUUCCAACCCAAAGCUUCUUCUGGCAGAUUAGGAUCUUGUCCUUGUCAGUCUUGUUCUCAGGGUUACGCUUCUCACAGCUCCACCUCAUUCCUUUGGCAAUGGCUGCUACAGAGUCCAGGAAGUAGGUGCUCUCCCUGAUUAUUGCAUAACCUGUGGGACGAAGGAUACGGUCCAUCUCAAGAAGUACAAACUUCAUCUCGCACCUGCAAUUAGC